rnacentral:sRNA from 1 species
CCACUCCCGCCCCCAAUGCAGAGCUUCCAAGGAAACCAGUUCCAGGGGGAAUGGUUUGUCCUGGGCCUGGCGGGCAACAGCUUCAGGCCGGAGCACAGGGCGCUGCUGAACCCUUUCACCGCAACUUUCGAGCUAAGUGACGCUGGUGGCUUUGAGGUGUGGAAUGCCAUGACUCGAGGCCAGCACUGUGACACGUGGUCUUAUGUGCUGAUACCAGCAGCCCAGCCCGGGCAGUUCACUGUGGACCAUGGUGUGGACACACGAGCAGGCUGGCCAUCCUCAGGAUCAGCCUGCUGGGCAGGAGCUGGUUGCUGCCUCCCGGGACGCUGGACCAGUUCAUCUGCCUGGGCAGAGCUCAGGGCCUCUCGGAUGACAACAUUGUCUUCCCAGAUGUGACCGGAGGUGCCCUGGACCUUAGCAGCCUGCCCUGGGUGGCAGCCCCAGCCUUACUACUCAGAGAGCCCCGGCCCCCAAGGCCUGACUCUUCUUGUGGGAGGGCGAGGCUGGUCACCCCAGGCCAGUGUCUGUUGAAGGAUGAAGCAGCUCCUGUCCGGCCCAGCCCUGCCUCACAGCUGCGCGAGCUCUGCCCUCCUCAGCUCUCAAACCUGAAUAAAUGCACCAAGCCCAGA